GAUAAAAACACAAUGUUGACUGUUGUAACCUAAUUUUUGAAUUUUUUACAUAUUAUGUCACAUAUCGUUAUUAAUAUAAUGUUAAUCGAUGCGACUGUACCCUACUUUGUAAGGAUCACUCUUAUUCAAACAAAAAAUUCUCUGAAACUGAUAUUAUCAAGAUGCUUGAUUUCUUGAUUGACAACAUAUUUGUAACGUUCG
rnacentral:lncRNA from 1 species